rnacentral:rRNA from 1 species
GAUGAACGCUGGCGGCGUGCUUAACACAUGCAAGUCGAACGAAGCACUUUAUUUGAUUUCCUUCGGGACUGAUUAUUUUGUGACUGAGUGGCGGACGGGUGAGUAACGCGUGGGUAACCUGCCUUGUACAGGGGGAUAACAGUUGGAAACGGCUGCUAAUACCGCAUAAGCGCACAGCAUCGCAUGAUGCAGUGUGAAAAACUCCGGUGGUAUAAGAUGGACCCGCGUUGGAUUAGCUAGUUGGUGAGGUAACGGCCCACCAAGGCGACGAUCCAUAGCCGACCUGAGAGGGUGACCGGCCACAUUGGGACUGAGACACGGCCCAAACUCCUACGGGAGGCAGCAGUGGGGGAUAUUGCACAAUGGGCGAAAGCCUGAUGCAGCGACGCCGCGUGAGCGAAGAAGUAUUUCGGUAUGUAAAGCUCUAUCAGCAGGGAAGAUAAUGACGGUACCUGACUAAGAAGCACCGGCUAAAUA